CAUAUUUUUGAAUUUUUUAUAGAAGUCCCACAACCUAACUCCCCGACUUAUCAGAGGUGCCUCCCCCAACAUAGAUGUGGUCGGUUCGCAAGUUGGGGAAGGAUAUGCUGCUGGUCCCAGUCGGACCAAAAAGCGCAAGAAGAGGAAGCAUGGAAGAUCGCGUUUUCCCCGGCGAUCUGAAGAAGAGGAAGCAGCUGAUCGUGCCUUAGAAGAUCAAAACCUGAGUUAUCUUAAGGAGAUCGAAGAGUGGGAGCGAACAACCCAAGGCGAACUUCGCACUGAAAGUCAGAUUUUUGCCGAGUUGACUGGGGAGAAACUCGUCCCAAACUGGAGGAUCUCCUACCUGAGCACUGUGCUCAAUACUGAGGCAGGUCAAGAUUCUUUUGAACUCUACCAAGCCAACUGCCUCCCUCGCGACCAGGCAGCACUUCUCAAGACCCCCCUACCCAAGACUGCAACCUUUUUAAGGGCUAUGUCCAUCAAAUGCACAGCCCUUCGCAAACAUCAGAAGGAUAGCAGCAAGAAAGUGACUUUCGCAUUAAACGAGCACCCAAUUGAACGAGCUGCGAGCUAAGGAAAGGAGCUGGGACAAAGAGCGCAUUAACUAGGAAGAGGAGCGUGCAGUCUUUGAAGCUAAACUCAAGGCAAUGGAAGAGUCGAGGGCUGUUGAGGUCGCACGGGCGCGAGAGGAUGGCCAGAAGAUUGAAGUAGGAUGUGAGGAGUUCUUGAACUCCCAAGAGUACGCCAAUGACUUCCUUAAAACCCCCAUAUUCCAGGUCGGGUGGGCACCGGAUUCAAUAAGUGUAAAGCUAAAGCCAGCAACAUAGGUGCGUUUGUAGAGGGGUUCGAUCAAAGUCGCCUCAACCCUUAUCUGGAUGAGAACUUCCAGCCUUAUGCCCCUGAGUCGCCCUUGGAGAUCGAAGGGAGCGAGUUCGCUAGCCUGCUUGACGAGGUGGAGGCUAAGGAUGACUGAGCCAGAUCUGCGAUCCUGCACAUACAUUUGUAAUGGGAUCGUAUCCCCUUUUGAUCGAACAAUUAACUUGUCAGCUGCUAUAUUUCUUUAAUCUUGCAAGUUUAAUACAUAGCUUUUUAAGAUCGAAUUCUAUACUUUCAAACCUUUUCCACGAUCCCCACAGGGUCGAUCGAUCAUAAAUUUAUGCUGCUAAUUCCUUAUA